AUUGGGGGAUAGUCCUUCACCUCCUUCAGGAAUUCCUUUUUUAGAAUUAGAAUGAUAAAGGUUGAUUUCCAACCCUUGAGAAUUUUAGAGGUAGGGAAAACUUCCUUCACGGUAGUAAUAAUGACCUUUUUGAUGAUAGACCAGAAACAUUUAGAAAAUAAUGGCUGGAAUCCAUUUGGCCCUAGAGCUCUAUCACAAGGCAGUUGUCUCAAAAAUUUUUCUAUUUCCAAAUCACUAAUUUCUUGUGUGAGGUA
rnacentral:lncRNA from 1 species